rnacentral:rRNA from 1 species
AUUGAACGCUGGCGGCAGGCCUAACACAUGCAAGUCGAGCGAGCGGCGGACGGGUGAGUAAUGUAUGGGGUCUGCCCGAUAGAGGGGGAUAACUACUGGAAACGGUGGCUAAUACCGCAUACUAUCGGAUAACCCAUAUGGGAUUAGCUAGUAGGUGGGGUAAAGGCUCACCUAGGCGACGAUCUCUAGCUGGUCUGAGAGGAUGAUAAGCCACACAGGGACUGAGAGACGGCCAAGACUCCUACGGAGGCAGCAGUGGAGAAUAUUGCACAAUGGGAGCAAGCCUGAUAGAGCCAUGCCGCGUGUCUGAAGAAGGCCUGAGGGUUGUAAAGUACUUUCAGUGGGGAGGCGUUAGCCGGAGAAGAAGCACCGGCUAACUCCGUGCCAGCAGCCGCGGUAAUUC